rnacentral:rRNA from 1 species
AACGAACGCUGGCGGCAUGCCUAACACAUGCAAGUCGAACGAUGGCUUCGGCCAUAGUGGCGCACGGGUGAGUAACACGUGGGAACCUGCCUUUCGGUUCGGAAUAACGUUUGGAAACGAACGCUAACACCGGAUACGCCCUUCGGGGGAAAGUUUACGCCGAGAGGGGGGCCCGCGUCCGAGUAGGUAGUUGGGGGGGUAACGGCCUACCAAGCCGACGAUCGGUAGCUGGUCUGGGAGGAUGAUCAGCCACACUGGGACUGAGACCCGGCCCAGACUCUUACGGGAGGCAGCAGUGGGGAAUAUUGGACAAUGGGCGCAAGCCUGAUCCAGCAAUGCCGCGUGAGUGAUGAAGGCCUUAAGGUUGUAAAGCUCUUUCGCACGCGACGAUGAUGACGGUAGCGUGAGAAGAAGCCCCGGCUAACUUCGUGCCAGCCGCCGCCGUAACAC